CCUACGGGUGACUGCAGUGGGGAAUAUUGCACAAUGGGGGAAACCCUGAUGCAGCGACGCCGCGUGAGUGAAGAAGUAUGUCGGUAUGUAAAGCUCGAUCAGCAGGGAAGAAAAUGACGGAACCUGAAUAAGAAGCCCCGGCUAACGACGUGCCAGCAGCCGCGGUAAUACGGAGGGGGCAAGCGUUAGCCGGAUUUACUGGGUGUAAAGGGAGCGUCGACGGUGAUGCAAGUCAGAAGUGAAAGCCCGGGGCUCAACUCCGGGACUGCUUUUGACACUGUGUGACUUGAGUGCAGGAGAGGUAAGCGUACUUCCUGGUGUAGCGGUGACAUGCGUAGAUAUCA
rnacentral:rRNA from 1 species